rnacentral:rRNA from 1 species
GACGAACGCUGGCGGCGUGCUUAACACAUGCAAGUCGAACGGAAAGGCCCUGCUUUUGUGGGGUGCUCGAGUGGCGAACGGGUGAGUAACACGUGAGUAACCUGCCCUUGACUUUGGGAUAACUUCAGGAAACUGGGGCUAAUACCGGAUAGGAGCUCCUGCUGCAUGGUGGGGGUUGGAAAGUUUCGGCGGUUGGGGAUGGACUCGCGGCUUAUCAGCUUGUUGGUGGGGUAGUGGCUUACCAAGGCUUUGACGGGUAGCCGGCCUGAGAGGGUGACCGGCAACAUGGGGCCUGGGUUCCGCCCAGACUCCUACGGGAGGCAGCAGUGGGGAAUAUUGCACAAUGGGCGGAAGCCUGAUGCAGCAACGCCGCGUGCGGGAUGACGGCCUUCGGGUUGUAAACCGCUUUCGCCUGUGACGAAGCGUGAGUGACGGUAAUGGGUAAAGAAGCACCGGCUAACUACGUG